AGACAACAAAAUGUUUAAUAUUAUUAUUUUGUCACCUUAGGUCGAUCGGUAUCUCACAUUCUUAAUUUAAUAAGAAUUUCAUUUCCUAAGUUUUUCUAGGUCACACCCAUUAUUUUUCCUGGGCCAUUAGCUCAGGUGGUUAGAGCGCACCCCUGAUAAGGGUGAGGUCCCUGGUUCAAGUCCAGGAUGGCCCAUAUCUCUAUGUUGGGGGUAUAGCUCAGUUGGUAGAGCGCCUGCUUUGCAAGCAGGAUGUCAGCGGUUCGAGUCCGCUUACCUCCACUGAUUACCACCUCUUGCAUAAUCCGUACUAAGGAAAUGUUUUGAGUUGUGAUCAAAUUCUGAACGAUUCUAGCUUCCUAAUGAAAUCAUUAAGAUGCUGGACUCAUUGAAUUAUUUUCAUUGUUUUCAGAGAACCUUGACAACUGCAUAGAUUAUUUUUAAAGACAAUAAGCAUCUUUAAUGAUGCAGAUUUAUUAUUUGUGCAAAUGCAUUAAUAACAAUUCUAUUAAGCUGAUGCUUCAAUUUUGAAGUUAUU
rnacentral:tRNA from 1 species